AACGCCAAAAUGCCGAAAUACCGAAAUGCCAUGCAGCAAAAACAGUUUGCAUUUGUUUUUCCGCGUGUUCGCACACGUUCACGGCAGCAAGAACAACAACGCGCGGUGUUGUGAGCUUGCCACAAAAAAAAAGAGAAAAAUAUUAUAGAAAAGAAAUAGAAAGAAAUAUUCAAAUAAAAAAAAAGCAAGCAAUAAAAAAAGAAAGCAACCUUUGUGGCAAAUCGAAUAAUGUCGGCAAAAUGUUUGAGGAAAUGCAGUGCGUGUGCAUGAAGGAACAAACUAAAAUGCCACUGGGAAAAGUACUCUGGACAAGUGAACAAGACAAGAAGUAAACAAAAGUAUAUUCAAUAAAAUAUAUAUAUACAAAUUACAAAAACAAGCCAACAAUUAAGAGAGAAACUAAAAAAACAAUCCCUGGAAAACCGGAAAAAUGUGCGGCAGCCAAGUUGGCUGCCUUUGAGGCUGACUGAGUGGCUCCAAGAAGCACUCGGAAAAAAUAAACCAAAACCCGAAGCCAAAAACAAGAAACUAAAAAAUAAACAUUAAAAAAAAAAGAGAGAGAGAGAGAGAGAGAGAGAGAGAGAGAAGAAGAAAAAGAAAAGUUUUAGAAUUAUUACAAAAGAAUCUUCUAUAUUUGAAAUAUUUUCAAAACAAAUUCAAAACUUAAUUAUAUUAACUCAUAAUUAACUAUUUGAUAAUUAAUUAAUUAAUUAAUUAAAUAGUAAACAAAGCUCAAAUAGACUGAAAUAGAGUCCAAAUAUAUUACGAAAGUAAAAUGCAAUUAAUUCAACAUAUCAUAUAAAUUAAUUAGAACAAAUUGCAUUUAAGUUAUUUAAAAAAAAAAACAAAAACCAGAAAGAAAACAAGAACAGAAAAGCAAACAAGAAGCGUACAAUAAUAAAAAAUAAUUUAAUAAAAAAGCAAUGAACCAAAAGUAACAAUAAAAAAUUCAAGCAAAAAUAAACACAAACAGAAGAUCAAAGUGCGGUGACUUUUGCUCCCAAAAGCCCAAAAAAAAACAAAAACACUAAUAAUUAAUAAUUAAUAAUUAAUAAUACAAUAAAAAAUUAAUUUCGCGUUAAAUAAUAAUAGUGUUUAAAUGGAACAACUGACCUAAGAGGCCCCGAGCGACACAAGACGAGGAAAAAUAUUAAAAAAAGGUAAGUCACUCAACGUGAAAUUUUCCCCCCCGGAACAUCAUCAAUUUAUGCGCCCCGAAUGUAAUGAUGUGUAUGUAAGUGAAAGACGAUUUUCUUAUUGAUUAAAUUACACACACAUGAGGACACAUCCAGCCAGUCGGCCAGGACACAUAUAUAGUAGGUUUAAUCCUAUAUGUUGGCUCCACUUUGGGCGAUAAAUUUCAUACACAGAGUACAGAGUCCCCCCCUCAGACCUCAUACAGACA